UGGGGAAUAUUGCACAAUGGGCGAAAGCCUGAUGCAGCGACGCCGCGUGAGGGAUGACGGCCUUCGGGUUGUAAACCUCUUUCAGCAGGGAAGAAGCGAAAGUGACGGUACCUGCAGAAGAAGCGCCGGCUAACUACGUGCCAGCAGCCGCGGUAAUACGUAGGGCGCAAGCGUUGUCCGGAAUUAUUGGGCGUAAAGAGCUCGUAGGCGGUUAGUCGCGUCUGCUGUGAAAACUCGAGGCUCAACCUCGGGCUUGCAGUGGGUACGGGCUGACUAGAGUACAGUAGGGGUGACUGGAAUUCCUGGUGUAGCGGUGGAAUGCGCAGAUAUCAGGAGGAACACCGAUGGCGAAGGCAGGUCACUGGGCCGCAACUGACGCUGAGGAGCGAAAGCAUGGGGAGCGAACAGGAUUGAGAUACCCUGGUAGUCCAUGCCGUAAACGUUGGGCCACUAGGUGUGGGGGUCCAUUCCCACGGAUUCCGUGCCGCAGCAAACGCAUUAAGUGCCCCGCCUGGGGAGUACGGCCGCAAGGCUAAACUUAAGUGAAUUGACGGGGUCAUAGCUG
rnacentral:rRNA from 1 species